CUCGAAGGACGAACGCUGGCGGCGUGCUUAACACAUGCAAGUCGAACGGAGUUUCUUGGAUCAAGACUUCGGUCAAGUGAAAUGAAACUUAGUGGCGGACUGGUGAGUAACGCGUGAGGAACCUGCCUUUCAGAGGGGGGACAACAGUUGGAAACGACUGCUAAUACCGCAUGAAGCAUACGGAUCGCAUGGCCUGAAUGCCAAAGAUUUUAUCGCUGAAAGAUGGCCUCGCGUCUGAUUAGCUAGUUGGUGAGGUAACGGCCCACCAAGGCGACGAUCAGUAGCCGGACUGAGAGGUUGACCGGCCACAUUGGGACUGAGAUACGGCCCAGACUCCUACGGGAGGCAGCAGUGGGGAAUAUUGCACAAUGGGGGAAACCCUGAUGCAGCGACGCCGCGUGAAGGAUGAAGGUCUUCGGAUCGUAAACUUUUGUCUUCAGGGACGAUAAUGACGGUACCUGAGGAGGAAGCCACGGCUAACUACGUG
rnacentral:rRNA from 1 species